GGGUUGCUAUAGCUGAUUACUAACCAGUCAUUGUUAUUUUUUUGGAACAUCCUUCUCCACCCCUUCUCCCACCCAGUUUCCUCCUCUGUCCACUGCAGAUGCCUAUUUAUUUUCCCCUUCUGAGUGAAAUUAAAGCACCCUCCCUUGGGCCCUCUUUGCUACUUAGCGUCUUCUUUAAAAAAAAAUGUUUAUCAUAUUAAUUUACAUUUCAAGUGUUGUCCCCUUUCUUGAUCUCCUCCCCCCGCAGAAACUCCUUAUCCCAUUACCCCUCCUUCUGAUUCUAUGAGGGUGUACCCCCACCCACCCUCACUCACACUCACACUCACUCCAGCCUCCCUGCCCUCGAAUUCCCCUACACUGGUGCAUCGAGCCUUCACAGGACCAAGAACCUCUUCUCCCAUUGAGAAGACCCUUCUUCCAACAAGGACAUUCUCUGCUACAUAUACAGCUAGAGCCAUGGGCCCCUCCAAGAGUACUCUUUGGCGGGUGGUUAGACGCUGGGAGCUCCGGUUGGUUGAUAUUGUUGUUCUUCCUCUGGCUUUGCAAACCCCUUCAGUUCCUUCAGUCCUUUCUCUAACUCCUCCAAUGGGGACUCUGACAUCAGUUCAAUGAUUGGAUGUGAGCAUUCAACUCUGUAUAUCAGGCUCUGACAGAGCCUCUCAGGAAACAGCUAUAUUAGGGUCCUCUCAGCAUGCACUUCUUGACAUCCACAAUAGUGUCUGGGUUUGGUGACUACAUAUGGGAUGGAUCCCUAGGUUGGGCAGUCUCUGGGUGGCCUUUCCUUCUGUCUUUGCUCCAUACUUUGUCUUGGCAUUUGCUCCCGUGAGUAUUUUGUUCCCUCUUCUAAGAAGAACCAAAGCAUACACACUUUGAUCUUCCUUCUUCUUGAGCUUCAUGUGGUCUGUGAAUUAUAUCUUGGGUAUUCUGAGAUUUUGGGCUAAUAUCCACCUUUCAGUGAGUACAUACCAUGUGUAUUCUUUUGUGAUUGGAUUACCUCAUUCAGGAUGAUAAUUUUUUUUUUUUUUUGGUUCCAUCCAUUUGCCUAAGAAUUUCAUUGUUUUUUUUGUUUGUCUAUUUGUUUUAUUUGUUUGUUUGUUUGUUUGGAUAUUAUUAUUAUUAUUGGUUUUUUGAGACAGGGUUUCUCUGUAUAGCCCUUUUAUAGCUGAGUAGUACUUUAUUGCAUAAAUGUACCACAUUUUCUGUAUCCAUUCCUCUGUUGAAGGACAUCUGGGUUCUUUUCAGCUUCGGGCUAUUAUAAAUAAGGUUCCUAUGAACAUAAUUGAUCAUGUGUCCUUUUUAUAUGUUAGAACAUCUUUAUAUAUAUAUAUAUAUAUAUAUAUAUAUAUAUAUACACACACAUACACACACACACACACACAGCUUCUCUAAAGUAAAGGACACUUUCAAUAGGACAAAAUGGCAACCAAAAGAUUGAGAAAAAGAUCUUUACUAAUCUAGAGGGCUAAUAUCCAAUAUAUACAAAGGAUUCAAGAAGCUGCAUAUGUAGCAGAGGAUGGCCUAGUUGGUCAUCAAUGGGAGGAGAGGUCCUUCAUCCUGUGAAGGCUCUAUGCUCCAGUGUAGGGGAAUGGCAGAGCCAGAAAGCAGACUUGGUAGGUUGGUGAGCAGGGGAAGGGGACUUUUGGAGGGGAAACUAGAAAAGGGGAUAACAUUUGAAUUGUAAAUAAAGAAAAUAUCCAAUAAUAAAAAGAAAUUAGACUCCACACAAUCAAAUAAGCCUAUUAAAAGUGAGGUACAGAGCUAAACAAUGAAUUCUCAACCGUGGGAACCCAAAUGGCUGAGAAGCACCUAAAGAAAUGUUCAACAUCUUUAGUCAUCAGGGAAAUGCAAAUCAAAACAAUCCUAAGUUUCUACCUCACACCAGUCAGAACUGCUAAGAUCAAAAACUCAGAUGGCAGCAGAUGCUGGUGAGAAUGUAGAGAAAGAGGAACACUCCUCCAUUGCUGGUGGGAUUGCAAGCUGGUACAACCACUCUGGAAAUCAGUCAGGUGGAUCCUCAUAAAAUUGGACAUAGUAUUACCUGAAGACCCAGCUAUACCACUCCUGGGCCAGUCAUCAUUAUUAUCAUCACUUUCCU
rnacentral:lncRNA from 1 species